UAUUGAAUAUAGUUCCCUGUGCUAUACAGUAGGACCUUGUUGUUUAUCUAUGUUAUACAUGAUAGUAUCUUCAAAUCCAGAGCUCACACUUUAUC